rnacentral:rRNA from 1 species
ACGCUAGCUACAGGCUUAACACAUGCAAGUCGAGGGGCAGCAUUUUAGUUUGCUUGCAAACUGAAGAUGGCGACCGGCGCACGGGUGAGUAACACGUAUCCAACCUACCGAUAACUCCGGAAUAGCCUUUCGAAAGAAAGAUUAAUACCGGAUAGCAUACGAAUAUCGCAUGAUAUUUUUAUUAAAGAAUUUCGGUUAUCGAUGGGGAUGCGUUCCAUUAGUUUGUUGGCGGGGUAACGGCCCACCAAGACUACGAUGGAUAGGGGUUCUGAGAGGAAGGUCCCCCACAUUGGAACUGAGACACGGUCCAAACUCCUACGGGAGGCAGCAGUGAGGAAUAUUGGUCAAUGGGCGAGAGCCUGAACCAGCCAAGUAGCGUGAAGGAUGAAGGCUCUAUGGGUCGUAAACUUCUUUUAUAUGGGAAUAAAGUUUUCCACGUGUGGAAUUUUGUAUGUACCAUAUGAAUAAGGAUCGGCUAACUCCGUGCCAGCAGCCGCGGUAAUACGGAGGAUCCGAGCGUUAUCCGGAUUUAUUGGGUUUAAAGGGAGCGUAGGUGGAUUGUUAAGUCAGUUGUGAAAGUUUGCGGCUCAACCGUAAAAUUGCAGUUGAAACUGGCAGUCUUGAGUACAGUAGAGGUGGGCGGAAUUCGUGGUGUAGCGGUGAAAUGCUUAGAUAUCACGAAGAACUCCGAUUGCGAAGGCAGCUCACUAGACUGUCACUGACACUGAUGCUCGAAAGUGUGGGUAUCAAACAGGAUUAGAUACCCUGGUAGUCCACACAGUAAACGAUGAAUACUCGCUGUUUGCGAUAUACAGUAAGCGGCCAAGCGAAAGCAUUAAGUAUUCCACCUGGGGAGUACGCCGGCAACGGUGAAACUCAAAGGAAUUGACGGGGGCCCGCACAAGCGGAGGAACAUGUGGUUUAAUUCGAUGAUACGCGAGGAACCUUACCCGGGCUUAAAUUGCAACAGAAUAUAUUGGAAACAGUAUAGCCGUAAGGCUGUUGUGAAGGUGCUGCAUGGUUGUCGUCAGCUCGUGCCGUGAGGUGUCGGCUUAAGUGCCAUAACGAGCGCAACCCUUAUCUUUAGUUACUAACAGGUUAUGCUGAGGACUCUAGAGAGACUGCCGUCGUAAGAUGUGAGGAAGGUGGGGAUGACGUCAAAUCAGCACGGCCCUUACGUCCGGGGCUACACACGUGUUACAAUGGGGGGUACAGAAGGCGGCUACCUGGUGACAGGAUGCUAAUCCCAAAAACCUCUCUCAGUUCGGAUCGAAGUCUGCAACCCGACUUCGUGAAGCUGGAUUCGCUAGUAAUCGCGCAUCAGCCAUGGCGCGGUGAAUACGUUCCCGGGCCUUGUACACACCGCCCGUCAAGCCAUGAAAGCCGGGGGUACCUGAAGUACGUAACCGCAAGGAGCGUCCUAGGGUAAAACUGGUAAUUGGGGCUAAG